rnacentral:rRNA from 1 species
AGCGAACGCUGGCGGCAGGCCUAACACAUGCAAGUCGAACGAACUCUUCGGAGUUAGUGGCGGACGGGUGAGUAACACGUGGGAACGUGCCUUUUGGUUCGGAAUAACUCAGGGAAACUUGUGCUAAUACCGAAUGUGCCCUUCGGGGGAAAGAUUUAUCGCCAUUAGAGCGGCCCGCGUCUGAUUAGCUAGUUGGUGAGGUAACGGCUCACCAAGGCGACGAUCAGUAGCUGGUCUGAGAGGAUGACCAGCCACACUGGGACUGAGACACGGCCCAGACUCCUACGGGAGGCAGCAGUGGGGAAUCUAGCGAAAUGGGCGAAAGCCUGACGCAGCCAGGCCGCGUGAAUGAUGAAGGUCUUAGGAUUGUAAAAUUCUUUCACCGGGGACGAUAAUGACGGUACCCGGAGAAGAAGCCCCGGCUAACUUCGUG